rnacentral:rRNA from 1 species
AGUCCCGCAACGAGCGCAACCCUUAUCCUUUGUUGCCAGCGGUCCGGCCGGGAACUCAAAGGAGACUGCCAGUGAUAAACUGGAGGAAGGUGGGGAUGACGUCAAGUCAUCAUGGCCCUUACGACCAGGGCUACACACGUGCUACAAUGGCGCAUACAAAGAGAAGCGACCUCGCGAGAGCAAGCGGACCUCAUAAAGUGCGUCGUAGUCCGGAUUGGAGUCUGCAACUCGACUCCAUGAAGUCGGAAUCGCUAGUAAUCGUGGAUCAGAAUGCCACGGUGAAUACGUUCCCGGGCCUUGUACACACCGCCCGUCACACCAUGGGAGUGGGUUGCAAAAGAAGUAGGUAGCUUAACCUUCGGGAGGGCGCUUACCACUUUGUGAUUCAUGACUGGGGUGAAGUCGUAACAAGGUAACCGUAGGGGAACCUGCGGUUGGAUCACCUCCUU